AAAAUUUCCUUUCCUUUUUCUCAGGGGAUUUCUCCGAAAUUGUUGACACACUUGCAUCAGAUGACGGCGAGGAAGAUGAUGAAGAUCCCACUGACGAGUAGGAGCCCUCUCAGAUAUUAGAUAACAGCCAUGCUGAAUUAGAUGACAAGGAGAAUGGUCAAGAUCCUGGUAUCCAAAUAUUUCAACCCAACAUACAGCCUAUGCACCAAUCAAGCAUUAAAUGACUCACCCAUCCAACUAUUAA